UACGGAGGAUGCAAGCGUUAUCCGGAAUUAUUGGGCGUAAAGCGUCCGCAGGUGGCUGUUCAAGUCUGCUGUCAAAGUGCAGAGCUUAACUCUGUAAAGGCGGUGGAAACUGUAGGUCUUGAGUAUGGUAGGGGUAGAGGGAAUUCCCGGUGUAGCGGUGAAAUGCGUAGAUAUCGGGAAGAACACCAGUGGCGAAAGCGCUCUACUGGGCCAUAACUGACACUGAGGGACGAAAGCUAGGGGAGCGAAAGGG
rnacentral:rRNA from 1 species